UACGUAGGGUGCGAGCGUUAAUCGGAAUUACUGGGCGUAAAGUGUGCGCAGCGGCCGCGCAAGUCGAGUGUGAAAGCCCCGAGCUUAAACUUGGGAAUUGCGCUCGAAACUACGUGGCUGGAGUGUGGCAGAGGAAGGUGGAAUUCCAGGUGUAGCGGUGAAAUGCGUAGAGAUCUGGAGGAACACCGAUGGCGAAGGCGGGCUCUGGGCCGUAACUGACGCGAGGAGCGAAAGCUGGGGAGC
rnacentral:rRNA from 1 species